rnacentral:tRNA from 1 species
GGAAGUGUGGCCGAGCGGUUGAAGGCACCGGUCUUGAAAACCGGCGACCCGAAAGGGUUCCAGAGUUCGAACCUCUGCGCUUCCGCCA